GUGGAUUAGAUACCCGAGUAGUCCUGGCCCUAAACGGUGCGCAUUUGCUGUAAGAGGAAUCGACCCCUUUUGUGGCGAAGCUAACGCGUUAAAUGCGCCGCCUGGGAAGUACGGCCGCAAGGUUAAAACUCAAAGAAAUUGACGGGGGCCUGCACAAGCGGUGGAGUAUGUGGCUUAAUUCGAUGCAACGCGAAGAACCUUACCUGGCCUUGACAUGCAAGUAGUAGAACCCUGAAAGGGGGACGAGGUAGCAAUACCAGCUUGCACAGGUGCUGCACGGUUGUCGACAGCU
rnacentral:rRNA from 1 species